rnacentral:rRNA from 1 species
UACGGAGGGUGCAAGCGUUAUCCGGAUUCACUGGGUUUAAAGGGUGCGUAGGUGGCUUGAUAAGUCAGCGGUGAAAGCCUGGAGCUUAACUCCAGAAUUGCCAUUGAUACUGUCGAGCUUGAAUCAGGUGGAGGUGGAUGGAAUAUUACAUGUAGCGGUGAAAUGCUUAGAUAUGUAAUAGAACACCAAUUGCGAAGGCAGUUCACUAUACCUGCAUUGACACUGAGGCACGAAAGCGUGGGGAUCAAACAGG